UUCACAGUGCAAAGCGGAGGGUUCUUUCGGGCCGCGCAUGCGCAGUGCUUGGCGCACAGGUACGUCAGCGGUUGUUGUUGUUUGGCGCGGGGAAAGAUGGAGAAGGAUGGCGGAGUCUCUCAGCAACUCCUAAGGGAGUUCAUAGCAAUAACCGGUGCCAGUGAAAGUGUGGGCAAGCACAUGCUGGAGGCAUGUAAUCAUAACUUAGAGAUGGCUGUCACCAUGUUCUUAGAUGGGGGUGGUAUAGCUGAGGAGCCUAGCACAAGCUCUGCUGGAUCAUCUACAGCCCGACCUGCUCCAGAUUUAAGUGAUGAUGUUCGAGCGCCAAUACCACAGAAACAAGAAAUCCUUGUGGAGCCUGAAAUGUUUGGUGCUCCUAAAAGAAGAAGACCUGCUCGUUCUAUAUUUGAUGGCUUCAGAGAUUUCCAGACUGAGACCAUCCGUCAGGAGCAGGAGCUGAGGAAUGGAGGGGCAGUGGAUAAAAAGCUCACCACAUUGGCUGAUCUUUUCAGACCCCCUAUUGAUCUUAUGCACAAAGGCAGCUUUGAGACAGCCAAGCAGUGUGGACAGUUGCACAACAAGUGGCUGAUGAUCAACAUUCAAAAUGUGCAAGAUUUUGCCUGUCAGUGCUUGAAUAGAGACAUCUGGAGCAAUGACACAGUCAAGACACUCAUACGGGAGCAUUUCAUCUUCUGGCAGGUUUAUCAUGACAGCGAAGAAGGUCAAAGAUAUAUUCAGUUCUACAAGUUGCCAGAGUUCCCAUAUGUCUCUAUCUUGGACCCUCGUACAGGCCAGAAGUUAGUGGAAUGGCACAAGCUAGAUCCUAAUUCUUUUGUGGAACAAGUUACAGGAUUUCUUGGGGAACAUGGGCAGCUUGAUGGCCUCUCAUGCAGUCCCCCUAAAAAAAGAUUACGCUCUGAAAAUCUAAUAGAUGCAAGUGAAGACAGCCAACUAGAAGCUGCUAUUCGUGCCUCUUUGCAAGAGACUCAUUUUGAUUCUGCAGUCAACAAGCAAACCCCUCGAUGUGAGGAGGAGUCCGAAUCAGAACUCUAUUCUGGUAGCGAAGAAUUCAUUUCUGUUUGUGGCUCUGACCAUGAGGAGGAUGAGGAGAGGCCAGCUGCAGAAUUAUCUGCAGAACCAGACUCUUGCGGCAAGUCCAAGAAGUCCACCUUGAAAGACCCGAAUCACAGGAAAGAAGCAGUGGGCAGGACACAUCCGGUAGCUGUGGAGGAAACUUCGAACCAUCGAUCACAAACAGAUACAGCACCUAGUGAAGAACGUCACAGGGAAUCAGAGUGUUCAGUAGAUGUAUCUGAUAAUGGACCAAAAGCAAAGUUGAUGCUGCGUUAUCCUGAUGGGAAGAAGGAACAGAUUGCCUUACCAGAACAAGCCAAGCUAAUGGCAUUGGUUCGACAUGUACAACUGAAAGGCUAUCCCAACGAACGCUUUGAGCUCCUCACAAACUUUCCCCGGCGCAAGCUGUCCCACUUGGACUAUGACAUUACGUUACAAGAAGCUGGUUUGUGUCCACAAGAAACUGUCUUUGUACAAGAAAGGAAUUAGCAUCUUCUAUGCUGUGUCAUCACCCUACCUACUGUCACUUUCCUCUUCUAAUAAGAUUCUGCCUCUCAGUCUGUUUUCUCCCCUCAUCAGUUGUUCAUGUAUGAAAAAUCCUCCCAUUUUCCUUGCUCAUUGUGGGAACAAAGAGGAGUAUUUAACACUGUGACUCAGGAGAGGCAAGAUCAUUGCACUGUGAGGGAGAAAAUCUCCUCCUUCUCAUGAUAAUUUUAACAGCAUUUCAUCUAUUCCUCCAUCAGUCCACGGGGACUCAGAGCACAUUCCUCCUUCAAUAUACACCCAGGCUCUGAUCUCCUUUUUUAGGGAGCUCCGGAUGACUCUUUGGAUCUCUUAUAAGGCAUAUCCAGAGUGUGAAAAGGCAAGAACGGUGAUGGCAGUUGUGAUUGACUAUAAGUUAUUUAUUACCCUUAAUUUGGAACCAAUAAGGUCAGCUGAUCAGUUGCGAAUGUACAUGGCUGCAUUACCAUCAAAAGAAAUCCAUCUGGAAUGGCAUACAUAUAUUCUGUAUUAUAACUGUAUUAUGUGCUAUUGCUCCUAUGUAGGCAUAAACAAAAAAAAAUGUAAUCACGGUUGCUCACAUUCAUCAUGUAUAUCAUGUGGUCAGUGGUCACAUUGUACAGGUACGGGACCUGUUAUCCAGAAUGCUCAGGACCUGGUGUCCCCAGAUUAGGGAUCUUUUCCAACAUUUUGAUCUCGAUAACUUGUCUACUAAUAAGUUGAACAUUGAAAAAAACAAUAGCAUUGUUUUGCCUCUAUUGAGGAUUAAUUAUAUCUUACUUGGGAUCAAGUACAAGGUACUGUUUUAUUACCACAGAAAAAGAGUUUUAGAUUAAUAUAUUCUCAAGGAAAGAUGGCCUUUCCAUAGUUCUAAGUUUUCAGAUAACGUAUCCCAUCCUUGUACUACUCUAUGACCAAUCAUCCGUCAGGACAAUUGUUAUUCCUUGUGGUGUGCAUGACUAGCUCAACCCUUACAUUGUUUUUAAGAUGAGA